rnacentral:lncRNA from 1 species
CGACACAAGUGGAAAUAGUUUGACGUGACAGAGAAACACAGGUGGAAUGUUAGCAGCCAAAUUUAUAUUCUUUAAAGAUGACCCUGUGAGCCACCGCUGCACAGCCCCACCCCGCAGAAAACCUACAGCCUUUGCAGAAUCCCCCUGGCUUUCUGGACCUGAUUCCCAUCUGGCCUGUCCCGGGAGCCCUUUCUUCCUCACUUGGUGGGACCCCUCUCUAACCAGGGGGAUUGCAUCCAGGUCGAGGUGGGGAGAGCUGCAGACCGGAACAGGGGACUAUCCUGAGCACCCCUCCCAGCAGGCACUGCGGCCCUGACGGGCUGUCCCCGCUCCAGCCCACAGUCGUGAGGGAGGUGGACACAUGAACGGACCCUGGCCGGGGGAGGAAGAGGAGGCCGGCGGCUCAGCCAGGACUGGAAAGGCCUUCCGGAUGCCAGGGUUGAGAGCAGCCCACCUGACUCAGCCCCUGUCUGCAUCACAGAGCAUCUCAGCAUUCCUGCCACGUGGUCUGUUCCUCUGCCACCUCCCAGCAAGCGCUCUAGUUUGGCAGUCCACUGUUCUUGAUGAAAUAUUUAUCACUACAUGGCAAAAUAUGGUUUUGCAAGAGCUUCGAGUCCUAUAAGGUGAUGUUCUUAAUUUCAGCUCUGCCACUGCCUUAGACGCUCGUGGACUGUUCCUAUUUGCAUAGCUGCUCUCUUCUUUCCAGACUCUCAGCACUGCUUUUCACUCAUUCACUCAUCCGUCCAUCCAGUCACCAUCCAUCCAUCCACCCACCCUCCACCCAUCUGCCGAUCCAUCAUCAAUCCAUCCAUCAUUCGUCCAUCCAUCCACCCUCCACCCACCUCUCCAUUCAUCCCUCAUCUAUCCCUGCAUCCAUCCACCAUCCAUCCAUCCAAUAAUACCCUGAGCACGUAUUGUAUAGUCUGGUGGUUGGGAGUGUAGGCUCUGCCUUAGCCAGACCUUACUUCCAUUGUCGUGCCGACUGCCUGUGGGUCUCAACCUCUGAGUUUCAGCUUUCUCUUUGUGAGAAGGAAUAAAGGCACCCACUUCACCGGCUUGUUGUGAAGGUGCAAGGGGAUAACACAUGUAACAAACUCAGCAGAGAAUCGAGCACACAGGUGCCCCUCUUUCGCCUCUUCUUCAGCCCGUGCCACCUGCCAAGAGUGUUGUGAUGAGGAGCGUAACCCAGCUCAGCCGGACACUGAACCAGUUGUUACAAAUGAAAGAUGAGUGUUUCCACUGGGCAGGGGCAAGGGGCCGUGGAAAUGUAGUUGGGGAGACUCACCUGGUUGGGAGUCAGCGGAGGAAGCCUAAGUGGACGUUGGCUGGGGAGGAGGAGGGGUGCGCUGAGGAGGGGAGCCCGCUGGAGGGACCUGGGCAAGUGGGGAGGGUGCCCAGGCCGGCGUGUGUUGUCUGGUGGAUGGGACAGCCUUGAGAAAUGUUGUGUUUAUAAAAGUUGUUCACGGAAACACGUUCCUUUACCAAUUAGCUCCCGUUGGCCAAAGCACAGUUAAUGUUCAGAAAAAACAAAUCUCCAGAAUGUUUUCCCCUUUUCUGUAGUUUUUAUUCUCUUUUCCAUUUCCACUUGUGAUUUUUCUGAGCCCGAGGACAUUUUGGGAGGGAUAUAAAAGGAUCUAAAACCUAGACAAUAGAGCAAACGCCUGCUUUUGUUAAGUUGCUUUACCUGCCAUGUUAUUUGGUUUCCGGCUUUUAGCUAUGACUGCUGAGGGUGGAUUACAAAAGCACUAACUCAGAGGACCUUCUCACUUACACCAGGAGGCUCCAUCUCCCGGGAAGAGGGAGGCCAGACCAAUUUACACGGGAACCUGGCUUGAGUCUGAGUUCUGGGGUCAGGACCCUUAUCCUGCCCCACCUGGAGGCUUGCAGGACUGGAAGUACUUGCGGUUUGGGGCCACAACCUGGGGUGCGUGGUUUGGGGGUGGCGUUAGGCUAGAGGGGGAGGCUGGUCUGGUAAACUCCGUCAGCAGAGUUUGGAUUUGGACCCGAGGGCGAUGGGAAACCAGAUCCGAGCCUUAAACUAGGGGGUG